UCUAGCGGUUAGGAUUCCUG
rnacentral:piRNA from 1 species